GGAGGGGUAGGAAAGCGGUUUAAUCCUCCGGUCUUGAAAACCGGCGUGGUGAAAGCCACCGUGGGUUCGAAUCCCACCCCCUCCGCCA
rnacentral:tRNA from 1 species